rnacentral:rRNA from 1 species
UCAAACGACUCUCGGCAACGGAUAUCUCGGCUCUUGCAUCGAUGAAGAACGUAGCGUAAUGCGAUACUUGGUGUGAAUUGCAGAAUCCCGUGAACCAUCGAGUCUUUGAACGCAAGUUGCGCCCGAGGCCAUUAGGUUGAGGGCACGUCUGCCUGGGCGUCACA